CCUUGCUAUUUCUAUCCAUCUGCCAUGUGCAACAACUGAGAUCCAAAUCGAAAUCCAGCCACACAAAAGAUAUAUCUUUAGACGAUCUGGGUUCUGCUUCUUGUUUCUCCUGAUAAGAUCAUCUGCUUCAUUAGUUAGUGAAUAAAAUGGAAGUUGUGGGUGAGGCCUUUCUUUCUGCUGCUUUCCAGAUAGCUCUUGGACAUUUGGCUUCACCGAUCUUGAGAGAAUUUGGUUGCCGCUUUGGUAUUGAUAAAGAUCUCAGAAAAUUAACCAGAAACCUUUCAAAAAUCCAGGCUGUCCUGAAUGAUGCUGAGGCAAAGCAGAUCACUGAUUAUUCAGUCAAACUUUGGCUUAAUGAACUCAAAGAAGUAGCCUAUGAUGCAGAUGAUGUUCUAGAUGAGGUUUCCACUCAAGCUUUCCGAUAUAACCAGCAGAAAAAGGUAACCAAUUUGUUCUCUGAUUUUAUGUUCAAAUAUGAGUUAGCUCCUAAGAUAAAGGAAAUAAAUGAGCGGCUAGACGAGAUUGCAAAACAGAGGAAUGAUCUUGAUUUGAAAGAGGGCACUAGGGUAACAUUGACAGAAACAAGAGACAGGGAUAGAUUGCAAACGAGUUCUUUGAUAGACGAAUCUCGUGUAUUUGGUAGGACGGAUGAUCAGAAGAAGUUGGUGGAGUUGUUGGUCUCUGAUGAAAACUCUGGAAAUGAUGCUGGUGUUGGUGUUGUUCCAAUUAUAGGCAUGGGAGGCCUAGGGAAGACAACACUUGCUCAACUUGUGUACAAUGAUCCUUUAGUUGCUGAGAAGUUCGAGCUGAAAACGUGGAUUUGUGUCUCAGAUGAAUUCAACGUUCUAAGGGUCACAAAAUCUAUUUUGGAGUCCAUUGAACGGGGACCUUGUAAUCUUGUUAGUUUGGAUAUCCUUCAAACCAAUCUUCGCGACAAGUUGAGGGGGAAAAAGUUUUUGGUUGUGCUUGAUGAUGUGUGGAAUGAGAAGCAAAGAGACUGGGAGGUUCUGCGUCUUCCUUUUAGAGUUGGAACAAUGGGAAGUAAAAUCAUUGUAACUACUCGAAAUGAAAAGGUUGCAUCAAUCAUGGGCACAUUUCGACCUCAUCAUUUGGAUUUUCUAUCUGAUGAUGAUUGCUGGUUGUUAUUCAAACAACGAGCAUUUGUAGAUGGGGAUGAGACUGCACAUCCUAACUUAGUGCCAAUUGGGAAGGAAAUUGUGAAAAAAUGUCGAGGUUUGCCUUUGGCAGCAAAGACACUUGGAGGACUCCUGCAUGCAAAAACUGAAGUUAGUGAGUGGGGGAUGAUCCUGCAAAGUCAUUUAUGGGAGUUGGAAGAGGAGAAAAAUGAAAUCUUACCAGCUCUGAGGCUAAGCUACAAUCAACUUCCAGCGCAUCUCAAGCAAUGUUUCGUAUUCUGCUCCAUAUUUCCAAAAGAUCAUGAAUUCGACAAGGAAGAUUUAGUCUUGCUGUGGAUGGCAGAGGGGUUUGUUCAUCCUAAGGGAAGGAGGCGCUUGGAAGAUGUUGCAUCUGAUUAUUUUGAUGAUUUGUUGCUGAGAUCUUUCUUUCAACAAUCCAAAACCAAUCUCUCAAAUUUUGUUAUGCAUGACCUGAUUCACGAUCUGGCAGAAUCUGUAGCUGGGGAAAUAUGUUUCAGAUUGGAGGGUGAAAAACUGCAGGACAUCCCAGAGAACGUUCGGCAUACAUCUGUGUCAGUCGACAAAUGUAAAUCUGUUAUAUACGAGGCCUUGCAUAUGAAAAAAGGCUUGCGGACGAUGCUUCUUCUUUGCAGUGAAACUUCACGAGAGGUAUCUAAUGUGAAGGUGCUUCAUGAUUUAAUCAGCUCUUUGAAAUGCUUACGAUCAUUGGAUAUGAGUCACAUUGCUAUAAAAGAUCUGCCAGGUUCGGUUGGAGAUUUGAUGCAUAUGAGGUAUCUUAACCUUUCAUACACUGAAAUCAAGGAGCUACCCGACUCAAUUUGCAACCUCUGUAAUCUGCAAACACUAAUUCUUGUCGGUUGCAACAAGUUUCUUACUUUGCCAAAAUGUACAAAAGAUUUGGUGAAUUUGCGCCAUCUUAAUCUGACAGGAUGUUGGCACCUCAAAUCCAUGCCACCAUCCUUUGGGAAACUCACUUCUUUGCAAAGGCUGCACAGAUUUGUUGUUGGAAAAGGGGUUGAAUGUGGUCUCAAUGAGUUGAAGAACAUGAAUGAACUUCGCGACACGCUUUGCAUUGAUAGGGUUGAAGAUGUUCUUAAUAUUGAAGAUGCAAAAGAGGUCAGCUUGAAGAGUAAGCAAUACAUACACAAGUUAGUACUGAGAUGGAGUAGAAGUCAAUAUUCGCAGGAUGCCAUUGAUGAGGAAUUGCUUGAAUAUCUUGAACCUCAUACGAACCUUAGAGAAUUAAUGGUUGAUGUAUAUCCUGGAACCAGGUUUCCAAAAUGGAUGGGGAAUUCACUACUAUCUCAUCUAGAGAGCAUUGAGUUCAUCCAUUGUAACCACUGCAAAACCCUCCCUCCUCUUGGUCAGCUACCAUUUCUCAAAAGUCUCACCAUAUCUAUGAUGCAAGAACUUGAAAGCAUUGGUCGUGAAUUCUAUGGAGAAGGUAAGAUUAAAGGGUUCCCAUCCUUGAAAAUACUAAAGCUUGAAGACAUGAUACGUUUGAAGAAAUGGCAAGAAAUCGAUCAGGGAGAAUUCCCAGUGCUUCAGCAGCUUGCUCUUCUGAACUGCCCCAACGUCAUCAAUCUUCCAAGAUUUCCAGCACUGGAAGAUUUAUUGUUAGACAAUUGUCAUGAGACAGUACUGAGUUCAGUACAUUUCCUCAUCUCUGUAUCCUCAUUGAAGAUUUUGAACUUCAGAUUAACAGAUAUGUUACCGAAGGGCUUUCUACAACCACUAGCUGCACUGAAAGAGCUCAAAAUCCAGCACUUUUACCGGCUCAAGGCGUUGCAGGAAGAGGUAGGCUUACAAGAUCUUCACUCUGUCCAACGCUUGGAGAUAUUCUGCUGUCCAAAGCUAGAGUCAUUUGCAGAAAGAGGGCUUCCUAGUAUGCUGCAAUUUCUUUCAAUUGGCAUGUGCAAUAAUAUGAAGGAUCUACCAAAUGGACUAGAAAAUUUAUCCUCUCUUCAAGAGCUGAAUAUUUCCAAUUGUUGUAAACUCUUGUCGUUCAAAACGCUACCACAAUCACUCAAGAACCUGAGAAUUUCGGCAUGUGCCAACCUUGAAUCACUUCCUACAAAUCUCCAUGAACUCACAAAUCUUGAAUAUUUGUCUAUACAAUCCUGCCAAAAACUAGCAUCCUUGCCAGUUUCAGGGUUGCCAUCCUGUCUUCGUUCAUUGUCCAUCAUGGAGUGUGCAUCAUUGGAAGAGAGGUGUGCAGAAGGCGGGGAAGACUGGCCAAAGAUACAACAUAUUCCUAAAAAGUCUAUUCGCGUCUUUUAAAACGAAGCUGCAUCUGAAAUAAGGGGUAGAAAAAGAAAAGAAUCUGCUACUCAAAAGCAGUUCUGUCUGGACAGCAACAUAGCAAGCUGGAUCUCUGGCGAGUCCUGGCACCUUAUUAAUCAACUUCUUGACAGCAUUUAGAGGAAGAGUUUGUCUACGAGAAGACAUUCCAUUUAUGUCUGUUAUUUUGAUGAUUGGCAUUAGUGAUUUUACUAUGUUACCACCAUUAUAUGAAUACCUAUCCUUCCGAUUUUACCAAAGUAAAAAUGCAAAGUGGUUUGGAGCUUCUUGUACCA